GGGCGAGUGGCGGAAUGGUAGACGCGCUAGCUUCAGGAGCUAGUGGGGGUAACCCCGUGGAGGUUCGACUCCUCUCUCGCCCACCA
rnacentral:tRNA from 1 species